AUACGGAGGGGACUAGCGUUGUUCGGAAUUACUGGGCGUAAAGCGCACGUAGGCGGAUCGGAAAGUUGGGGGUGAAAUCCCGGGGCUCAACCCCGGAACUGCCUUCAAAACUAUCGGUCUGGAGUUCGAGAGAGGUGAGUGGAAUUCCGAGUGUAGAGGUGAAAUUCGUAGAUAUUCGGAGGAACACCAGUGGCGAAGGCGGCUCACUGGCUCGAUACUGACGCUGAGGUGCG
rnacentral:rRNA from 1 species